CUACAGGGUGAUAGUCCCGUAGAAGAAACAUAAUAAGAUUGAAUUAGUAUCUUGAGUAGUGUCUAUUGGAUAUUAGGCAUGAAUUUGGGAGGCAUCAACUUCCAACCUUAAAUACUCCUCAAGACCGAUAGUGUACGAGUACCGUGAGGGAAAGUUGAAAAGAACCCUUAACAGGGAGUUAAAAGAAUUUGAAACCUAAUAGUUAUGGUGGGGUACGGCUCUUCGGAGUUGUGCCGUGCGUUUUGAAUAACGUGCCAGGGAGUGUACUUGAGUGGCAAGGAUAACUGCUUAAAGCAGGCAUCCAUAGGGAAACCAAUAUGUCGCAGUUUACGAGGGCAGUGGUAUGAAAGUGCCAUUAGUCACUUGGGUACGACCCGAAGCCGGUCGAUCUAACCCAGGGUAAGGUGAAGCGGUAGUAAUAUAUCGUGGAGGCCUGAAGAGGUGCUACGAGCAAGUGUUCUUCUAACCUUGGGCUAGGGGUGAAAAGCCAAUCGAGACCGGUGAUAGCUGGUUCCUAUCGAAGUUGGCCGUAGUCAAGCCUGGAUGGAGAUAGUUAAGUCGGUAGAGAUACGGAUUGCGAGUGCUGGGGGAGAAAUCCUUCACCUUUCUGUCCAACUCCAAAUGUCUUAACAUCGUAGAAGUCCGGAGACGGCGGCUCGUCGUAAGGGUGAGUCGCGAGAGGGGAACAACCCAGACUAUAGUUAAGGUCCCUAAAUAUCAAUUAAGUGUGAAAGGGUAAAGAGUGUCUACAGCCAUAGACAGCAAGGAGGUUGGCUUAGAAGCAGCCACCCUAUAAUAAGUGCGUAACAGCUUACUUGUCAAGGUUGUAGGUCUUGAAGAUGGACGGGGCUAAAUUGAUUACCGAUACUAUAGGCAACUGAAAAGUUUGUGAUAGAUAGGCGUUUUGUUAGAGCAAAAGCAUGUCUUAAAGGAUAUGUGAAUCUUUCAAAAAUGAAAAUCCUGGCGGUAGUAGGAUCAUAGCAGAGUGAGAAUCUCUGUCACCGAAAGGGCAAGGGUUCCUUGACAAUGUAGAUCAGUCAAGGGUUAGUUGAUCCUAACCUCGUUCCUAACAGGAAUAUAUGAGGGAAAGGGAAACAGGUUAAUAUUCCUGUACUAACAUUGUAUGUGCGGCGACGCAAGUCUAAUUUCUGACAGUUUUGGCUAGGCCAAUACAUCUUAUCUGGUGUAUUAAUCAAGACAAAUCAAUGGAGUAUUGUAAUGAUGAGAAGUUGAUUAAACUUGAGAAUAGCGGUCUUUCGAUCGUUUGGUUGAUGCCUGGAUUCCAUGAAAAGGAAAUUGGAAAAGAUCAGUGUUAUUCAUACCCAGAACCAGCACAGGUGCCCCUAGGUGAGAAACCUAAGGUGUGAAGGAUUAAUCAAGCUAAGGGAAUUCGGCAAAUUGGCCCUGUAACUUUGGAAUAAAGGGUCCCUGCGUUAGUAUUCGUACGAAUGCCAUCGCAGGGUGCAAAGAUCAAGGUGGUCCGACUGUUUAACAAAAACUUAACUGACUGCUAGCCUGUAAAGGUGCGUACAGUCGGUGACGUCUGCCCAGUGCAAGUACUUCAAACUCCUUUUCAAGGGAGCUAAGAGCUUGUAAACGGCGGGGGUAACUAUAACUCUCUUAAGGUAGCUAAAUGCCUUGCCGUUUGAAUGACGGCCUGCAUGAAUGGCGUAACGAGAUCACCACUGUCCCUAGCUUGAAUCCUCCGAACUCUUUUUUCAGGUGCAAAGACCUGAGAUUUCCAGUGGGAAGUGAAGACCCCGUGAAACUUUACUGUAGCUUGUUGUUGUAAUGUGAUUUAUGAUGUGCAGCGUAGGUGGGAGUUGUUUAAGGCGAAAGUCGCUAGGUUUUCGUUUAGACGCCCGUGAAACACCACCCUUCAUGAAUCGCAUUGCUCACUACGAAAGUAGGACACCAGCAGGUGGACAGUUUGGCUGGGGUGGCACACUGUUGAAAGGAUAUCAACAGUGCCCAAUGGUAGGCUCAGAUGGGUCAGAAAUCCAUCUAAGAGUGCAAGUGCAAAAGCCUGCCUGAUUGUACUUAUAACAAAACUAAGUUCAAACACGAAAGUGUGGACUAGCGAACCUCUAUGUCCUCCUUGAUGGGGGCUAGAGAUGACCGAAAAGUUACUCCGGGGAUAACAGAGUUGUCUCCCCCGAGAGCUCAUAUCGACGGGGAGGCUUGCUACAUCGAUGUCGGCUCUUCCUAUCCUGGUCGUGCAGAAGCGGCCAAGGGUGGGGGUGUUCACCCAUUAAAAGGGAUCGUGAGCUGGGUUCAGAACGCUGUGAGGCAGUUUGUUUAAUAUCUACUGGAAAUGUUGAUUAUCUGAUAGGAAGGACCACCUAGUACGAGAGGAACGGUGGCCCGGCGCCACUGGUCUACCAGUUGUCUGAUAAGGCAUGCUGGGCAGCUACGCGCCAACGGAUAAGUGCUGAAAGCAUCUAAGCACGAAGCCGGCCUAGAAAAGAGAUAGUCUGAGUACGGAUAUAACAUCCGUUUGAUGGGACAGGAGUGUAAUUUUCAAGGUUCGCCGAGAAAGUAAGCUCGCUGUUUCCAAUAACUCGUAACUUUUUCCCA
rfam:Archaeon D22 isolate D22 NODE_23_length_2908_cov_5.64437, whole genome shotgun sequence.